UGAAAUCCCGUCCUGCCCCCUCAGGACUUUGCGCAUCUGUCAGGGAAGGUUUCGGGAUGAUUGGGUUAUGAAUUUGGCCCAUAGUUCUCUGCUUCCAUGUGAUUGCAUACGAAGGAGAAUUACAGACAAGGAAGAAAUUGCUGCUCUUUGGGGUCUUUUUUUUUUUUUUUUUUUUUUUGCGUGUUUCCCAGAAGAGGGCAGCAUCUCCCUAAGAUUUCUCUCAUCCGGUGGUGCAGCCCUUCCUGGCAGUCUUAGAAGGAAUAGUGGAUUCAUUGGUAGCAGAAAAUGGUCUCAGGUCCCUCCAUUCGGAUUCACGGGGGAAGGGGAUAGCCAUGGGAGAAGGUGUGUGUUGGGGGGUGGGGUGGUUUGGGGGAGGUGGCCUGCUCCCUGGGGAACAAGCUUUUUCAGAAGGUCACUUGCCCACAGUGGCUUAAGAACACGGUCCCAUCAGAAGGCAUUAGUGGGUGUUUGGAAACCUGGCAAAGCUUUUGUGCCCUGAAGCCGGAAGGUGAGAGUGCAAGGUAGUAGGUAGAGGGCAAUCUGGCUGGAACCUUCUGCCGGGCCCAUCCUCAUCAGUCUGGGCACCAGGAGAGCACACAGUUGCUUCUAAGGCAGGACUUUGGUGGGCAGGUGGGUGACUCAGUCACUCAGCUAGUUAGAGUUAGGACAAGCCCUGGGAUCUGCUAACAUCUGUCCACCCCUCCCCCACCACUAGGAAGGGACAAGGUCAAAGGUAGUGUCUGAACUUCAUUCCCACCAACACCGGUCCCACCGGUUCUCGCCAAAAUUAGAGACAUGGUAGGGCCCCGGGCCAUUGACUUGUCUUCACUUUUUAGUAAACAACCAGGAAGGCAGAUGGGGGAGACCUCACGGGUGGAAAUCGAUGCUCGUGGACAGUUGCCUGAUCUCUGGGUCAGGUGGUGAACGCGUCAGCCAGGCAGGGGCGCAGCAGGCCAGGGAGGGACUCAAGGGCGGGGUUCCUGGGGCUGUCUUCCUCCGUGCUCUCUUUUCUCUUCUGGAUGUCUUUAUCUGCGGGCAGCAUGUUUGCUGGAAACAAAAGAGCAGCAGCUAGAAGCGCCUUUCAAGUUUGGAACUGAAAGGAUCUGAAGUUGGUGGAGGGAGAGGAUCAGGUGGGGUGAGGUAGGUGGCGUGGUCCCGUGUGCCUGAAUGACCGCACUCAGCGACACCCUCCCAAACUAGCCCAGAUUCCCUAACUCUGUUCUUGCGUCCAGGGCAAUGGGGACUGACGUUAAGAAAGCCUUCAGUGUCGGAAGUGUCGUUCUCCCUCGGUGAAGCCCUGACCUUGCUUUAGCAGGAGACCAGCCUUACCGUGCGACACCCCAGGAAGCACGUUUACCCUGUAUGCUGGGCAAGUGGACGAAGGCAAAAGCCUCCUUCCCUUCCACGCCUCUGGCUGGAGACCUCUGUGCGUGCAGGGAAAUCAGCACAGUUGCUUGCAAGCCUCAGAAGGCUAGCCUGUGCUCCGAGACUGCGCCUUGGUUUACAUUUGCCUCUUCUGGCUCCUCCGGAUCAGCAUUCACUCUGCAUUUCCUGGUCUUUGUGGUUCGUCAGCCCCUUAACGUUGCUUUAGCUUCACUGGCGUGUUGUGUGUGAGGAUGAUUUAUGAGUAAGAAGCCUCCCAACCUCUGGCAUGCUGGAACUGUUCCUUGAAUGUGGCUCCGUUGUGAGCUGCUGUCAUCACAACUUAUAUCAAAAGCAUCUCUUGCCCCCAGGACAUGACUGUGUUUUGAAAGCAUUUCUGUCCUAUGUUGCUUGUGCAGAUAUCUGGGAGAAAGCUUCUUCCAUUUCUGUUCAGUUUGUGGAGAAGGGUUUUAGCGAUGCCUCUGUCGUACAGUCUUCAGCCCUGAAGCUCUUACUGUCUAGGCUCUGGUCCCAGUUCCACUGCCAAGCUGCCGGGCAACCUUGGACAAGUCACUGCCAUGUUUAACACCUCAUCUCACCAGCUUCAUAUUUUAUCUCUGGAAGCAGAAAGAAAAUGAAGUUUUCUGCCAGUAGGCUGAGAAAAGUCGUUCCAAAUACAAACUGAAUAGGAUCAGAGAAUCAAGGAAGCACACGCUCAUGGAGGUUGGUGAGUCAGCAGAAAAAUAUUGCCAUUUCGGGUGUCCAUCUGCCUAUGUUUAACUCUUCAUCUGAGGAAGGGGUGAAGUGUUGGAAAGUGUUGAAUAUCGGCAAAAAUGGGAAAUGAGAUCAAAGCCUCAGACCUUUGGGACAGGACAUACCACUGCUGGCCCUUGUGAGGACAGCUGCUCUGACAGCUGUGCCCUCCAGAAUAUGCUGUGGGCAUCAGCCUGGCAGCAGGGUCCCUGGCUGUGCCUGAUACCCAAUAGGGAUGCUGUAAAUAUCUGGGAAGUGAGUGGACAAGUGACUGUCCCUGGUUUGGGCUGGUGCCACUUAGAGGGCAUCCAGAGUGCAGUGGAGGGCGGGGCUUGGGCAAGAGGGACAUUCCUGCUGCUGGAUCAUGGUGAGAGUGACACUUCAGGAGAGCCUAAUCCUUUGGAAAGCCCUGUGCUUUAGUCCUGCGCUGACACCCCAGCCCACGAUGGAGAGCCAGCUCCAAUGGCAUGCAGAGAUGCACGGAGUCAAAGAGGCAACCAGAGGGAAGGAAGGGACACAGCUUCUGCAAGUUGGUGCUGAACGAGACCCAAGACUCACGUUCAAGACAGCCCAUAAACCCAGCACCAAGGAAAAUUCUGCCUCUGCUUCUUUCUCUUCCAUUGGACCCUCUUGGGCUGCCCUUUUUUUUUCUUUUUUUUAAAACGUGCCUCAGAGAACUUUCUUUAGGGAUAGUUGAAAUAUUUCCCCAUUUUUAUUUUAUUUAUUUUUAAAAUUUAUUUAUUUUAUUUAUUUGGCUGCAUUGGGUCUUCGUUGCUGCAUGUGGGCUUUCUCUAGUUGCAGUGAGCGGGGGCUACUCUUCGUUGGGGCAUGGGCUUCAGUAGUUGUGGAGCACGGGCUUCAGUAGUUGUGGCUCGCGGGCUUAGUUGCUCCACGGCAUGUGGGAUCUUCCCGGACCAGGGCUCGAACCUGUGUCCCCUGCAUUGGCAGGAGGAUUCUUAACCACUGGGCCACCAGGGAAGUCCCUUGGGCUGCCCUUUUAUGUCUUCAUUUCCCUUGACCUAGGGAAAAUUGACUUUUGCAUGGAGUAUAGAGCCCUAUGAGUUUUAACAUAUAUAGAAUCAUGUAACUGCCACUAUAAUCAGGAUACAGGACAAUUCUACAACCCUAAAGAGCUGCCUUAUGCUACCCCAUUGUAGGUUCUCUUCCCCCAUGUCCCCAGCCUCUGGCAAUCACUGACCUUUUCUCCAUCACUGUAAUUUUGUCUUUUGAGAAUGUGUCAUAUGAAUGAAAUCACACAGGGUGUAACCUGAAACUAGCUUCUUUCAUUCAGCAUAACGCCCUUGAGAUCCACCCGAGUUGUUGUGUGUAUCCACACUUCUUCAUUAUUAUUCUUUUUAUGACUGAGUACCAUUCCGUCGUAUGAAUGGACCACUGUUUGUUUAUCCAUUCACCUGUUGAAGGGCUUUGGGGUUAUUUCCAGUUUUGGGUGAUUAUGAAUGGAGCUGCUAUAAGUAUGUAUAUACAGGUUUUUAUGUGAAUAGGAAUUUUCACUUCUCUCUGUCAAAUACCUAGAAGCGGGGUUACUAAGUCGUAAGAUAUGUUUAACUCUAUAGGAAACUGCUAACCUGUUUUCAAGAGUGGCUGUGAUGUUUUGUAUUCCCACCAGCAGAGUGUGAGAGCUCCAGUUCCUUUGCAUUCUUGUCAGCACUUAAUACUGUCAGCACUUUUUUAUUGAGCCAUUCUAAUAGCACAUGUUUUUAAUUUGAGUUUCUCUUAAUGGCUGUGAUUUUGAGCAUCUCUGCAUGUGUCUAGUUUCCAUCCAUUUUUCCCUGUGGUGAAGUAUUUCUUCAAACCUUUCCCACAUUUUUAAACUGGUUUGUUUUUUCUCCUUAUAAUUGAAUUCUGAGAGUUCUCUGUAUAUUCUGAAUAUAAGUCCUUUAUCAGAGUUAUGUUUUUCAAAUUGUUUCUCUUAAUGUGCCUUUUCAUUCUUUUAACAGUGAAUUUCAAAGAGCAGAAGUACUUAAUUAUGAUAAAAUCCAGUUUCACAGUGUUUUAUUUUAGGGGUCUUGCUUUGGUGUUUUAUCUCAGAAAUCCACGUCUAACCCAAGAUUACAAAGGUUUUGUCCUAUGUUUUCUUAUAGAAUUUUUAAGUUUUUAAGUUAAUCUUUAAGGUUUUAAGUUUUACCUUUAGGUCUAUUGAUCCACUUUGAGUUGAUUCUUAUAUGUGGUGUCAGUCAUUGAUGGAAGUUCAUUUUUUUGCAUACGCAUAUCCAAUUAUUCCAACACCAUUUGUUAAAAGUACUAAUCUUUCUCCAUUGAAUUGUCUUUGAAACUUGGUCAAAAAUCAUUUGAUCAUCCAUGUGUGGGUUUAUUUCUAAACUCUCUAUUCCACUUCAUUCAACUAUUUGCCAAUCACUAAAAAUACCUCAUUGUCUUGAUUACUAUAGCCUUAUAAGAAGUUUUGAAACCAGGGAGUGUAAGCCCUCCAACUUGGUUCUCCUUUUUCAUAGUUGUUUUGAUUAUUCUCAUUCCUUUAUCUUUACAUAUGAAUUUUGAAAUUAGCUUGUCAGUGUCUUAAAAAAAAAGGCUGUGCUGGGAUUUUGAUUGGCAUUGUCAUCUUUACUAUUUGAGUCUGUCUUCCCAUUUAAAUCUUCUUUGAUUUCUUCUAUCUGCAUUUUGUAGCAUGCAGAUCCUAUUCAUGCUUUGUUAGAUUUAUACCUAAAUAUGCUCGGGCUUUGGAGCUAUUAUAAAUUAUAUAUAUGUAAAUUAUACACAUAUGUAUACAGAUAUAUUUAAUUUCAGUUUUCAAUUGUUCAUUGCUGAUAUCUGGAAAUAUGAUUUAUUUUUGUGUGUUGACCUUGUAUGCUGUGACCUUGCUAAGUUUGUUUAUUAGUUCUAGAAAUUUUUUGCAGGUUCCUUGGGAUUUUCUACAUAGGCAAUCAUAUAAUCUGCAAAUAGUGAUAACUUUCUCCAUGUCCAAUCUAGAUAACUUUCUUUUCUUUUUCUUUAUUGCACUAAGAAUGCCUGUAUGAUGUUGAAUAGAAGUGAUGAGAAUGGACAUCUUUGCCUUGCUCCUGAUCUUAGACCAGCAGCAUUCUGUCUUUCACCAUUAAGUAUAAUGUUAGCUACUGGCUUUUUUGUAGAUGUCCUGCAUCAGGUGAGGACGUUUCCUGCUAUUCCUGGCUUGCUGAAACUUUGUCCUAUGCAUGGAUAUUGAGAAUGCCUUCAGUUGAGAGGAUGCUCAAGAAGACAAGAUAUCUUGAGAAACUGCAAGAAAUGUUAUGGGGAGAAGUGGGGAAGAAGAGAGGAAAGUUUUCAGGCUAGUUGGACUCUGGAAAUUCCAGUCCCCCCCCCCUUACUCAUACUGGGACCCCAAGUUGCAAGUGAAAGCAAGAAGUAGGAGGAGAGUGAGGCAGAAAAUGUAGUGAAAUGUAUCUUGGGAAAGGAGAACUGCUGAUGCAUUCCUGGCAUUCAACACAAAUUAGAGGCCAACCUAAGUCACAUAAGGAUUUAGGUAGGAGGGUCUCUGAGCAUCCAUGGGGGCAGUAGAUAUCUUGGAUUUUGGGACUAGAAGCAUUCCUAGAGAUCUACUGGUCCAACCCCCUGAUUUAAAAAAUUAGGAAAUUGAGACUCCAAGAGGGAAGUGACUUUACCUUAGAGUCAUCUAGCAGGCUAGUAGCUGAAGUGGCUCUGAAACUUAGGACUGGGACUUCCAGAAGGGAUCUCUCAUCUCUUCCUCCUAUUGAUGGAGACUGAGACCCCAAACAGGGACAGGAACACAGAAUCAGAGCAGCGUCAUGGUCUCUAGACCCCAAUGGAGAAAGGAGAAAGUUGGUAAACAUAGCCAUUCCUAAUCCAAACCUGGAAAGGUCAGAUUACGUACUUACUGAUAGUAUAAUGAUUAUAAGCAACAUUAACUGAGCACGUACGUGCCAGGCACUGUUCUACAUGCUCAACUGCUUUAAUCCCUUCAACGGUGCUAUGAAGUAGGUGCCAGUGUUAUUUCUGGUUUAUAACUGUGAAAACUAAGGCGCAAGAGAGGUUAGCGAAGCUGCUUAAGGUGGCACAGUCAAUAAAUGGCAAAAGUGGAAUUAAAUCUAGGUGACCUAAGUUCAGAGCCAGCCACUUAGCCAUAUGCUAAAAUGUUUCAAUGCAGACUGAACACCACUUAGGUGCUCCAGUCCUAAUUCCUCACACAGAAAAGCAUUCCACACCUGAUGGAACCAGAUUUAUUGCCACCUCCAGCCACCUGGUACCUGCGCAUCAGAAAACUUGAGCAUCCUGUCUUCGAGGUGGGCCUCAGGACACAAAGCCUGUGUGCUGCCUUUGAAAGGAAAAAGUCUAGUGGUUCUAGAAACCACUCAUGCUGAAAAGAAAGCUGGCUGCUGACCCCAAGUACCAGUGUUCCCUUCUCCCGCUUACUCUAGUGCUGUUGGCAGUGCGCCAGGGUCUCUAAAGCACACUCACCCUCCAUUCUUUUAUAAUUCUGUUCCACCAUUGUUAGUCUUCUGGGUAUUACCCAGUGCCCAUAAAGCAUAUUAAAUUAAUUUCUGCUUCCUCACUUGACAUUUAUAUUUGAGAAGCAACUCUGUGAUGGGGCAGGGAGGUUGCCUGGAAAAAUGCUAAAUUAAUAUCCAGUUGAGAGAUGGGUACCAGCUUCUUUUGAUUACAUAAGAUAUGUGCCUCUUCAAUUGUCUGAUCAUAACUGCCUACUGUCAGUUGGAACAGAAGCUAACUGCCCUCUCUAGGAAUCAGAUGAUCUGAUCAGAAUCAGAAGGCUUUCUUCAAAGAGGAUAGACUCAGGGUUUUCCUCAUGCUUUCUAUAGCCAUGUCCCUGUUGAGUACUGAUCAAUAUGGCAAGGAAGGUUCCUUCACAUUCCCUUCAACAAAGACUUAUGGAAAGUAGGAAGGAGGGCGGUCCAAGAGAGGGACCAAUCACAGCAUCCCUCACAUCAAUGUUUGCCAUGUAUUACAUUGUAUUUCCCGAGCCACCUGCUUGAUUUCAUCUUGUAGAGGUUGGUGUUGCCAUUGUGUCCUCUUGAACUCACCCUGACUGCUAGGAAUGGCCAUGGGAUAGUGUGGAGGUGGGUGAGAUAGUGAGGCACACACUGGAACAGUCUCCCCAGAGAGUUGCCAUAGCUGCGAUACUUCCCAUUUCCAUUGUUUCCUUACAUUUCAAAGUAUUUUUACAUGUGCUAUUUACAUAUACAUUCACCAGAUGUUCACUGAAUGUCUACUGUGUACCACGUCCAUAUCUCAGGGCAAACAGUUAGGAUACAGUAGUAAUAAAUACAAACGAAAGAAGUUUGUCCUCAUGAACUUACGUAGAGCAGAAGUUAUCUCAAAUGCUUCUCAUUAUGAUGCGUCAGGGAGGCUGGACCAAGAGCUAUGAGUCUCCUCUAUGAUUAAGAUAAACCGAGGCUCAGAGAAGUUAAAUGUCCUAAUUAAGUGUACACAGCUAGAUAGUGGCAGAGCCUGGAAAGCCCAGACCACCUAAAUCCUUCGCUAUUACUCUUUCCGGCAUAAUAUUCUCUCUUGACUUGCACCAUGAAGGCCCUGCUAGAACCUCAUGAAGUCAUUUUGGUCAUCACCUUCCAUUUCCUGUCCCCCAUUCAAGCCUCUCGGCAGCACCACAUGUCAAGAGAAGAGGGUUUUGCAUGUUCCCACGGCACCCACCCAUUCCAACAAAUCACAGCUCCCUCUUCCUUGAAAUUCUGUUGUGUCUUGAAUUUAAACUCUUCAUGCUACGAGCUCAUUACUUCCCGUCUUCCUCCAUUCUCCGUGGAAGUGAAGUGAGGCAUCUUUGAUGGACCUGAGGACAAUCCCCAAAGCUCCUCCUCUCUGGAGCCAUUGACAGAUGUCUACCUCCAGUCCUGACUUGUUUUGUCUCAAUUAAUCAGCAAACUGUAGUGAGGGUUUAGUCAUUUUCACCCCUAUUUUAGUUCCUCUUAUAGAGUUAAAAUGACUGUUUUACCUAUCAGACCAAAAUUUAAUGGCUAAAACAAGAUUUAAGAAGUAAUAUCACCUAUAUGCGGAAUCUAAAUUUUAAAAAAUGACACAAAUGAAAUUACUUACAAAACAGAAACAGGCACACAGACUUCAAGAACAAACUUUUGGUUACCAAGGGUAAAGGGUGGGUGGAGGGAUAGACUGGGAGUUUGGGAUUGACAUGUACACACUGCUAUAUUUAAAAUAGAUGACCAACAAGGACCUACUGUACAGCACAGGGAAUUCUGCUCAAUAUUCUGUAAUAACCUAAAUGGGAAAAGAGUUUGAAAAAGAAGUAACUCUGGGACCAGUUGAUAAGUUCACAGAGGGGGGAUUUCAUGGUUUGUUGUUAGAAUGAGGUUUUGGCAAGCUUCAGUCCAGCAAACAGUCUUUUAAAAAAAGAAACUAGACCAAAAAAAUGUUCAGAGGAGUUUUAACAUAAUAGAAAGAGAUGAGAAUUCAAGUCAAAACCAGAGUCAGUCUCAGCUCUGCUGUUUACUGUUUGUCUUGGGCUGAUUGUUUAAAAGUCUCUGUGCAUUUAUCAAAUUCAAUUACUAAAAGGCAAAACAAAUAAUACCUGGAAGCGUUUUUAUUCAAGAAAAUGAUAGAAUAUUUGUAAAAGGGAUUUCUCCACCAUAGCAUGCAAGGUAAACAGUAGUGAUUGGAACGAUGGUCACUAUUGCUAGUUGUGGAAUGGAAUAGGGCUGCAGUAUAAACUCAUGGAUUAUUUUAUCACAGUCUGUUUGCAGACUUCAUUUUUGUCUUCCACCUCCAGAGUGCCGGAAUAGCUUGCCUGUGCCUCUCCUUUUCCCUCCCUAAUAUGGCAAUGACACCUGGCCCAUUUCUCAUGCAGGAAAGUAUUAAAGCUCUAGCAGGUAUCUCCAUGACAACAGAGAUUGUUUUGUUUUCCCUGUAUCCUCCGUACUGGGAACAGUCUCUUUCUUACAGCAGGCAUCCAAAGAUAUGUAUGGGAAGGAUGAAUAUAUCAGAACUUGCCUCAAGGCCCAUGGGAGAAAGAGAUCAGGAAGAACUUUGUGUAAAGAAAAUGCAAUGGUUGAGCCUUUGAAUGGGGGAGAAGUGUUGAUACUAAUGUUACAGGAGACACGGAAGGCUUUGUCCUGGCAUGUGGGUAUAUGGCUUGGGCUCUGAGGCAGACAACCUGUGAUGUCUGCUAAUCCCAAGGUCCCAACCUGUCCCAGGACUAUCCCAUAAGCUGAACAUCCAUGGUCUUACAGAUUCUGACAUGCAGGAACUACAAGGGCUCUUGUCCUCCAAGCUGACCUACCCUUGGCUUGUACGACGAGAAAACUGAGGUCGAGAGAGUCACCCAGAAGCAGAGCAGAGACUGGAAUCCAAGCUCCGGAUUUUUAGUGAAAAAGACCCCUUUUCCUUCCAGAGGAAACAUUCCAUCAUUUGAAAACUAAAUGCUGAUUGUUUGCGCGUUACUUUGCCUUGUUCAAGUGUGGAGAGAAGAAUUGGUUUCUUUCAAAGUUUAGUGGUGGUCUUGUUUAUAGGGGAAUGCUGGACAGCCGAAAGAUUUUACCAAGAAAUCGCUGGGUUUCCUAACAAUCCCUUGGUAUAAAAUAUUACCGAGGCCAUCUCCUCAUCCAGCCCGUGUGUGUUUUUCCUUCCCUCUUGAAAUUGUCAAACUGACAUAAUUAACUAAGCUGUUAGCUAAAUAAAUCACUGGAUCCCAGCAAGAAUUUUUACUGAGAUAUCAUUGCCCCCGCACCACACUGCGUGAAGGACUGUCAACACCGCGUUGAUAGAUGUAUGGCAAAGGAUUCUGUUUGAGAGACAGCUCUCUCCUUCUCCCUGAGCAUCGAACAUGGCUGGCAGGCUACAGAACAGAUGUCAUGGAGCGUAUGUGAGAAAUCCACCAAUUCCUUAGAGUAUUUUGAUCCCACAAGGUUCACGGAGCCUGAAGGCACGUGGAAUGCAGACUGAUAGCCCAGGGGUGGACUCCAGUCCUGGUGGGCCUCAAGCAGAAGCUGCGGUUACUCUGCAGUUGUUUUUUUGUAGAGAACUGUGCUCUGACACAGGGGAUGCCCUUACUAACCUCCAGAAGUCUCUGACAUCCCCUGAGGUAGAUGAACACACUGUUAUUGCUUUACUUUUAUUUUUAGGAAUAUUCAUUUGUUAGCUCUUUAAGAGCAGGGCCCACUCUGUCUUUUUUUUUUUUUUUUUUUUUUUGCAGUACACGGGCCUCUCACCGUUGUGGCCUCUCCCGUUGCGGAGCACAGGCUCCGGACGCGCAGGCUCAGCGGCCAUGGCUCACGGGCCCAGCCACUCCGCGGCAUGUGGGAUCUUCCCGGACCGGGGCACGAACCCGCGUCCCCUGUAUCGGCUGGCGGCCUCUCAACCACUGCGCCACCAGGGAAGCCCCCACUCCGUCUUUUGAUCUAUGUGGCUCAUCGCAGAGCCAUCUGGUAAAGAAACAGAGGCUGAAAGAUCACGACUGGGGUGGUCAGUCUGUCAAGGAAUUCAGAACGCCGAGGCACCAGGCCCUCGGGUGAUGGACGGCUGCUCCUGCACUCGGUUUAAUUAGAAGCAUGGCUAAUGGCCAGAGACUUGGAAGAGAGAUUAUAGAUUCAUUAAUUAGGUUCAUGUUUA